rnacentral:tRNA from 1 species
GCCGUUCUCGUUGGUCCCAUCCUAUUGGGCCUACCGCCUCCCAAGCGGUAGGUCGCGCGUUCGAAUCGCGCCGGGGGCG